rnacentral:rRNA from 1 species
UCGUUGGACUGCAGGGGAUACUGCCGAGCUUGGGGGCGAGAGAGGCCGACGGUACUCUCGGGGUAGGGGUGAAAUCCUAUAAUCCCGAGAAGACCACCAGUGGCGAAGGCUGUCGGCUAGAACGCGCCCGACGGUGAGGGAUGAAAGCUGGGGGAGCGAACCGGAUUAGAUACCCGGGUAGUCCCAGCCGUAAACCAUGCAGGCUAGGUGUUGGAGCGGCUACGCGCCGCUUCGGUGCCGCAGGGAAACCGUUAAGCCUGCCGCCUGGGGAGUACGGCCGCAAGGCUGAAACUUAAAGGAAUUGGCGGGGGAGCACCACAAGGGGUGAAGCUUGCGGUUUAAUUGGAGUCAACGCCGGAAAUCUCACCGGGAGCGACAGCAGAAUGAAGGCCAGAUUAAAGGUCUUGCCAGACAAGCUGAGAGGAGGCGCAUGGCCGUCGCCAGUUCGUGCCGUGAGGUGUCCUGUUAAGUCAGGCAACGAUCGAGACCCGCAUCCUCUGUUGCCACUGGUCUUGAGCCAGGCACACUGGGGAAACUGCCGCCGAUAAGGCGGAGGAAGGAGCGGGCCACGGCAGGUCAGUAUGCCCCGAAUCUCCCGGGCCACACGCGAGCUGCAAUGGCAGGUACAAUGAGUCCCAACCCCGAAAGGGGGAGGCAAUCUCUAAAGCCUGCCGUAGUUGGGAUUGAGGGCUGAAACUCGCCCUCGUGAAC